AGGAAUUGGCGGGGGAGCACCACAAGGGGUGAAGCCUGCGGUUCAAUUGGAGUCAACGCCAGGAAUCUUACCUGGGGGGACAGCAGAAUGAAGGUCAAGCUGAAGACUUUACCAGACAAGCUGAGAGGAGGUGCAUGGCUGUCGCCAGCUCGUGCCGUGAGGCGUCCUGUUAAGUCAGGCAACGAGCGAGACCCCUAUCCGUAAUUGCUAACUGUUCAGAGAUGGAUAGAGGCCAGUUACAGAGACUGCCGCUGCUAAAGCGGAGGAAGGAAGGGGCCACGACAGGUCAGUAUGCCCCGAAACUCCUGGGCCACACGCGGGCUGCAAUGGUAGGGACAAUAGGUUCCGACCUCGAAAGAGGAAGGCAAUCCCGAAACCCUACCUCAGUUGUGAUCGAGGAUUGAAACCCGUCCUCGUGAAUAUGGAAUCCCUAGUAACCGCGUGUCAUCACCGCGCGGUGAAUACGUCCCUGCUCCUUGCACACACCGCCCGUC
rnacentral:rRNA from 1 species